rnacentral:rRNA from 1 species
UAACACGUGGGUAACCUGCCUGUAAGACUGGGAUAACUCCGGGAAACCGGAGCUAAUACCGGAUAGUUCCUUGAACCGCAUGGUUCAAGGAUGAAAGACGGUUUCGGCUGUCACUUACAGAUGGACCCGCGGCGCAUUAGCUAGUUGGUGGGGUAAUGGCUCACCAAGGCGACGAUGCGUAGCCGACCUGAGAGGGUGAUCGGCCACACUGGGACUGAGACACGGCCCAGACUCCUACGGGAGGCAGCAGUAGGGAAUCUUCCGCAAUGGACGAAAGUCUGACGGAGCAACGCCGCGUGAGUGAUGAAGGUUUUCGGAUCGUAAAGCUCUGUUGUUAGGGAAGAACAAGUGCGAGAGUAACUGCUCGCACCUUGACGGUACCUAACCAGAAAGCCACGGCUAACUACGUGCCAGCAGCCGCGGUAAUACGUAGGUGGCAAGCGUUGUCCGGAAUUAUUGGGCGUAAAGGGCUCGCAGGCGGUUUCUUAAGUCUGAUGUGAAAGCCCCCGGCUCAACCGGGGAGGGUCAUUGGAAACUGGGAAACUUGAGUGCAGAAGAGGAGAGUGGAAUUCCACGUGUAGCGGUGAAAUGCGUAGAGAUGUGGAGGAACACCAGUGGCGAAGGCGACUCUCUGGUCUGUAACUGACGCUGAGGAGCGAAAGCGUGGGGAGCGAACAGGAUUAGAUACCC